rnacentral:lncRNA from 1 species
CUUUGAAACCACUGGGGACACAUCUGUCUAUAGAUCUAUUGCGAACGCUCAGAGCCGCCGAGGGAACGCCAACGUCUGGGCCGGACACUAAGAACAACUGCUGGGAAAAAAAUAAAACACCAACCCCAACCGUCAGCAACAAGGUAACAGAGCGAUUCGACAUCAUUUUUUUUCCUGUUCAAUUUUUUCCUUGUUAUAUUUGUUUCCUAAUUUCUGCCCAAAAGGAAAGAUGUCGCAUCAGACUGUGACUGUUGCGAGGAGAAUGAAAAAGGACUCUUGUUUCAGAGGCAACCAAGAGCUCCGGCAAUAGCAACUUCAGAGAAAUGCACCAUCGCAAGAAGUUUUCCUAGGACAGAACAAAACUUGAAACGAGAGGACCAGAGGGGGAGAGCAGGAGCCAGCCUCCCCUCUCCGCACUCGCGAGCAGCCAGCAGCACCACGCCUUCAAGGACGAAAAAGUUUUACUACUCUAAGGGAAAACGAGUGAAAUGUGUUCCUGAGGAGGAGAGGAGAGGAGAGGAGAGAGCGGACAAGAGAAGGAGCGGGCCGGUUGCUGGUCAUCCGUAAUUUGGCUAAGGAAGAAAGGAGCAGCUUCUUUCUUUGUUAUCUCCCGUGAAACCUUCACUUAGCAGGUGGACGGAGCCCCGCGACCAGGCAGAGUCCAGGCUCGCCCGAGGACAGGAGGAGGAGCGGGAGCCCGCGCGUCCCGGGAGAGCGCCCCGAGUGCAGGUCCCCGCCCCGCCCGGCGAGCCCCGCUGGAGCGAGCCCAGCGCGCCGGGGCUGGGGGGCGGCCACGACCCCCCCUGAAGGGGGUGGCCACGGAGCGCACCCCGAGAAGCGAGCCCCCCUCCCCA